rnacentral:rRNA from 1 species
GACGAACGCUGGCGGCGUGCUUAACACAUGCAAGUCGAACGAAGAGCGAUGGAAGCUUGCUUCUAUCAAUCUUAGUGGCGAACGGGUGAGUAACGCGUAAUCAACCUGCCCUUCAGAGGGGGACAACAGUUGGAAACGACUGCUAAUACCGCAUACGAUCUAAUCUCGGCAUCGAGGAUAGAUGAAAGGUGGCCUCUACAUGUAAGCUAUCACUGAAGGAGGGGAUUGCGUCUGAUUAGCUAGUUGGAGGGGUAACGGCCCACCAAGGCGAUGAUCAGUAGCCGGUCUGAGAGGAUGAACGGCCACAUCGGGACUGAGACACGGCCCAGACUCCUACGGGAGGCAGCAGUGGGGAAUCUUCCGCAAUGGACGAAAGUCUGACGGAGCAACGCCGCGUGAGUGAUGACGGCCUUCGGGUUGUAAAGCUCUGUUAAUCGGGACGAAAGGCCUUCUUGCGAAUAGUGAGAAGGAUUGACGGUACCGGAAU